CAGUAGAUAAUUUAAAUAAAAAUAUUAAUUUUGGAAAUUAAAAAUAAAGCUAAUUUUUCUACUGA
rnacentral:tRNA from 1 species